ensembl:rRNA 5S_rRNA 5S ribosomal RNA
GGCAGCAGCCAUAUCACCCUGUAACUCACAACUGGCAACCCACUGAAGCUAAGCAGGUGUGAGCCUGGUCAGUACCUGGAUGGGAGACCUCCUGGGAAAAACUAAGGUUGCUGCUGGAA